CAUAUGUUUGUUCACUUUACUUUUGUAUAUUAUUUAAUAAACAAUAGGAAUUAUAUCAAGAGAAUAUUCCCUCUAUUUUAAUUAAUCGCUUCUGAUUUCUUUUAAAGUACAGGUUCACGUAAGAAUCAGGCAAUAUCGACAUUUUGUGAUAAGUGAUAAGACGCAAAAUAAAACGAAAUUUUACCCAGCAAGAAACUGGAAUGUUUUGAAUGUAUAUGCCAAAUUAUUCUGAAAUAUUCCGUUUCGUUUUUGAAUACGGGCCCGAUAUAUUGACAAGGCGCUUAAUUUUGACGCCGUGCAAGUCUUAGUAAAAUAGCAUAUAUUUUUAUCAAAUUACUAAAAACAGCAAACCUUACGAGAAAAAUUGAUUAUAAAUAGUUACUAAACUCACCCAGCACAAUGAUUUCCAAUUUUAAAAAGCAUUGAAAAAUUUGAGUUUCGAGUUUAAAUUGCCGUUAAAAUUAGCAAAUUCGAGUGAAAUCUGGUUGUCUUUCUUGGUUGAUUCACAAUAUCGUCGCUAGAUGGCGCCUCGUUGCUACGUACGCUAGUGCGCGAAAAUGGAAGUUCGAGAAGACUACACGGUUUCGGGACACUUCGCAAACAGUUUCACAAGUCUGUAUAAAGACGAUCCAGAAUAAAUAACUCCAGUGACCCUUUGUAAUUGUUGCAGAGACAUAACAAGACAUCUGCAAGGUUUAAAACUUGGUGAUGGCCGACAAACAACCUGUCAACCCAGCCGCGGACAGCAAAAGAAGUCAUACCCCAAAGACUCACAUUAUAUACAGGGCUCAGAACUUUGACAAUCAUAGACCCUGUCAUAACAUCAAACUGAACUGAUGAGGCAGAAUAUAUCUUUCGGAAUGUUUCAACAAGCGAAAAGUCGAAGAAUGUGUUGACUCAGUGCUUAAUCUGAUUGCACCAGGGCAAUCAGAGAAAUUAAAACAAUUGAUUAUGUUAGAACCUAAAACAACUCCAACAGAUAAAGAGCUCACAAACUACAUGUAUAUGAGGAAAUAACUAACAUUGAACUUCACCCUCAAUUUUUUUCAAUGACAAAAAACUAUGUUAAUAUAUAUAACAGUAAUAAGAUGUACAUGUAUAACUAAUUCAUGUAGAAGAUAAGUGCAUAUAUGUAUGUCCCUUUCUCACUGAUUGUCCAUUAUACAUGUAUAGAAAGAAGAAAGAAAUUUUAUAUCUCAUUACAUCAAGAAAAAUUAUGUGUAAUUAGCAUUAAGAAAGACAAAUUUAGCUGCAUGGUUAAUAACCAAGGAAGACAGAACAAUAACUAAUGACUAAGUUAAUUGAAUUUCUAAUAUAAAGAAAGAAUCUCAGAACGCAGCACUGUUAAGGUUGCAUAUGCUUAAAUUACCAAGAAAUAUGUCAUCAAAAACGAGCUACAAAUAUGAUGGUCGUAUUAAUCAAAACUCGCAUACAGCUUUUCCCAUAAUAAUAUUAGCUUAACUCAAGUGACCCAUGUGUUACGACACACAUGUGCAAUUACCGUCAUCACGUGCCUAUCACGUGACAUCGAUAUUUAUAGACAUUUUUCUAUGUCACACAUAUUUUUCAAUAUCGCAAGGGCAUACCCCCGUUGUACAUUUAUUUGUUUUGCAUGUAUAAGUAAAAUGUGAUCUCCUUCACCCAAAAAUCACUGCUGCUUUAAUGGAAUCGAGUUAAUUACAACGCCAUUUCCAAAAAUACACUCGACAAU